rnacentral:rRNA from 1 species
CAGUCGAGCGGACAGAAGGGAGCUUGCUCCCGGAUGUUAGCGGCGGACGGGUGAGUAACACGUGGGUAACCUGCCUGUAAGACUGGGAUAACUCCGGGAAACCGGAGCUAAUACCGGAUAGUUCCUUGAACCGCAUGGUUCAAGGAUGAAAGACGGUUUCGGCUGUCACUUACAGAUGGACCCGCGGCGCAUUAGCUAGUUGGUGAGGUAACGGCUCACCAAGGCGACGAUGCGUAGCCGACCUGAGAGGGUGAUCGGCCACACUGGGACUGAGACACGGCCCAGACUCCUACGGGAGGCAGCAGUAGGGAAUCUUCCGCAAUGGACGAAAGUCUGACGGAGCAACGCCGCGUGAGUGAUGAAGGUUUUCGGAUCGUAAAGCUCUGUUGUUAGGGAAGAACAAGUGCAAGAGUAACUGCUUGCACCUUGACGGUACCUAACCAGAAAGCCACGGCUAACUACGUGCCAGCAGCCGCGGUAAUACGUAGGUGGCAAGCGUUGUCCGGAAUUAUUGGGCGUAAAGGGCUCGCAGGCGGUUUCUUAAGUCUGAUGUGAAAGCCCCCGGCUCAACCGGGGAGGGUCAUUGGAAACUGGGAAACUUGAGUGCAGAAGAGGAGAGUGGAAUUCCACGUGUAGCGGUGAAAUGCGUAGAGAUGUGGAGGAACACCAGUGGCGAAGGCGACUCUCUGGUCUGUAACUGACGCUGAGGAGCGAAAGCGUGGGGAGCGAACAGGAUUAGAUACCCUGGUAGUCCACGCCGUAAACGAUGAGUGCUAAGUGU